CCUACGGGUGGCAGCAGUGAGGAAUAUUGGUCAAUGGACGAGAGUCUGAACCAGCCAAGUAGCGUGAAGGAUGACUGCCCUAUGGGUUGUAAACUUCUUUUAUAUGGGAAUAAAAUGUUCCACGUGUGGGAUUUUGUAUGUACCAUAUGAAUAAGGAUCGGCUAACUCCGUGCCAGCAGCCGCGGUAAUACGGAGGAUCCGAGCGUUAUCCGGAUUUAUUGGGUUUAAAGGGAGCGUAGGUGGAUUGUUAAGUCAGUUGUGAAAGUUUGCGGCUCAACCGUAAAAUUGCAGUUGAAACUGGCAGUCUUGAGUACAGUAGAGGUGGGCGGAAUUCGUGGUGUAGCGGUGAAAUGCUUAGAUAUCACGAAGAACUCUGAUUGCGAAGGCAGUUCACUGGACUGCAACUGACACUGAGGCUCGAAAGUGUGGGUAUCAAACAGGAUUAGAUACCCUUGUAGUC
rnacentral:rRNA from 1 species